UGGCCGCCUCCUGGAAAACGGAAAUUGACUUAUGAAAAUAAAACCGGAUUAAUAGUACAUAAGACGAUGUUGUUCAAUGAAACAACCAACAAGUUCUAGUACAAGGCAUGAAUUUUGUUUAUAAGUUGAUGGCAAGGUUACCAUGCCAUUUUUUCGAAGAAAAACAGAUAAAAACCAAGCCGGUAAUUCUGGGUCACAGAAGACAUCAACAGUUAAAAGAACACCAUCAUCAGUUAGUACAGGGAGCUCAACUGGUUUAGGUAGUCCAGAUAGUAAUGGAGGUCCACCGGUGUUACUGUUGUCUGAUGAUUUUGAAGAAAGGGGUGAUUUGGGAAUUACAGAACCCCAAUCACCCAUGCGAACUACUUCACGUUUGUCAAAAGCCCUGACAGAAAUAAUACAUGAUAGAGAUGCAUUACCCUUAUUUAUUAGUUUUAUGGAAACCAAGAAAGCUGAUCAUUUUAUACGAUUUUGGUUGGAUGCCGAAAGUUUUCAAAUUGCCACACUCACUAGAAAACGGACACAAUCUUUUAAAUCAGGUAGCUCGACUUCUCUCAGUAACCAACAGAACCAGACAUCAAAGUCAAAUUUAGAAAACGUGGAAGAAAAUUGUAAUAGGGAAGGAGCUAAUGGACAGAAAAUACCCGAUAGUGUUGUUCAGGCUAGUGAAAAUUCUGGUAAAAUCGAAUCACAUCAUGAAGUUGUUGUGGGUGAAGGAGAGAAUAUAAAUAAACCAUCUGAACAAAAUCCAGGGUGUGUUGACAUUGAAUCAAAUAAAAGUGAUACGGAAAAUAGUGGAGUUAAUGAACGAUUGACUAAAACACAGGAUGAAGAUGGUGAUACUAGUGUUCAAUUAAGUCAAAGUGCUAUAAAUCCAAACUCUUCCGAAUCCUCAUGUGAUAAAACUGGUGUAAAAAACAGACAUCUUUCAGAACCCAAUGCAUCUGAUAAAACCAAUGAAAAUUCGGGUUCAAGUCCAAAACAUAGACAUGCAUCUGAAUCCAAUAUUCCAACUUCUGUUGAGGUUAAUGAAACACGUAAACCAAAGCCAUCACUUUCUAUAGAAGAAUUGAAAGAAAAAUUAAAAAAGAGUAUAGAACGUGAUGCUGUAAAUAUUUUUACUAAAUACAUAUCCCAAGAUGCCACCCACCCAAUUGGAGUGUCAGAUGAACUUCGAAAUGAAACAAUAAGUUAUAUUUGCCGUGAAGAUGGAGAAGUGGACCCUACUUGUUUUACUAAAUGUCAAAAAUUUGCUGUAGAUGUUAUGCAAAAAAAUUAUUUUCCAGCAUUUCAGGGUAGUGAAUAUCAUUGUAAACAUCAAGUUGAUAUUUUAACUAGUGGUAAAGUGUAUUUAGCUGAUAUUUUAUAUAAUGAGAUGGCUCUAUUCUACUUGACAGAGUUUUUAGAACAGGAAGAUGCCAGCCACCUUUUACAAUUUUGGAUGGCUGUAGAUAAUUUUCAACAACAUUUAGCUUCCCAACAAGGAAAAUAUGAUGGAAUGCAGGCUCAAAGUGAUGCUAUGGUAUUUUAUGAUAAGUAUUUUUCUCUACAAGCUAGUCAGCCACUAGGGUUUGAUGAUAAAACAAGAUUUGAAGUAGAGAGUAAUAUAUGUAGAGAGGAAGGACCAUUACCAGAUGUCUUCUCUAAACCUAAAGAUAUAGUGUUACGUACUCUAGAUAAGGUAUAUUUUGAACAUUUUUUAAAAAGUGAAAUGUAUUAUAAAUAUUUAUCUGACCUGAUCUCGACAGUUAAUAUGGCACAAGACUUGCCAACCAAACGCAAACGCACAGGAAGUGAUGCAUCAUCAGAACAUAGUGGUGGAAGUCAGAGUGUUGGAGCUGACAGUCUUUCAUCUCAUAAAAAUACUCUACUAGCCAUGGAUAGCAGUAGUAUUAAAAAAGCCCUCAACAAGCUUGAUAUAGAUAUGCGAAUUGAUAAUCAACUAUUAAAUCCAGAAGAAUUAUGGAAACGACCAGUUGAAAAAAAAAUGUCUCUAGGAAGUGUCAAUGAUUAUGGACAGUUUGUAUCAGAGUUCACUCGAGAACCAGAUCAUAAAGAGAAAAAAGCAUUGUUUUUUAAGAAAAGUCGCACAAAAGAGAAGGAACAAGAGGAGAUGGCACUACAAAUUGCUCAGAUGAUUUUAAAUGAUGUUGCUACGAUGACAAAAACAGGUGAUUUAUGUUCAGGAAAAGAUAACCCAUCAACUAGCGCAAAACCAGAUAAACAAAAACAACAUAAGUUAUAGCAGUAACUUGUAUCAUUUAAUAUUUUAUUGAGUUUUUAAUUUGUAUAUUAUGUUUUUUUUAUAAAGAAAAAAAAAACAUUCUUAGAAAUCGAAGAUAAGUAAAAUUUGACUUACACUGAUGCAAUUUUUUAGUGACUAUGCGGUGGUGAUCAACUUUCUAUACGAAACAUAGUUGUGUAUUUUUCGGUUAAAAGUACAUAUAUAAUAUAUUCUGUUGAAAGUAUAUGUAUAAUCAAUAUACUAUAUUGUCACAAACAAAAGUGUUUUAUAACAUAGAGUUUCGAAUGGCUGAUAAAUUGUUGAUAUGAUGACAUUUGAUUGACUUGAUAUAGGAAAUGAAAAUGUAAUAUCAAUUUUGAAAUAUAUUGUUGUUUUCAAUAUUUGUGACAUAAUAAAUUUUGAAAAUCAAAAAAAUUCAAUAUAGAUACUGAACCUGAUGUUUUGGAGCAUUAGUAGAAUCUGUUUUUAAAUAAUCUAUUCUUUUCAAAGUUUGUGAUAUUAAAACCUAGAGAUUAAAUUAAUUUAAUACAGAUAAAAAUUCUGAACCUCAGAAUAUUAUAUUGUAGGAGCUAUUGUCAUCAUCAUCAUCAUUAUCAUGUGAAAAUCAAAUUAAAUUCCUAUCAUCAAACUUUAAUAUUUUUUAGAGAAUGUCAACAUGGGUGAUUACAAAUAGUUCAGUUUGAUACCAAACCAUUACAUAGAGUGUAGUAAUUGAGGAAUUUAUUGAGGAUAAUAAUAAUGAUAGCUUCUACCAAUAUAUGUCUGAAGUUUAAGACUAAUUUUCCACUACCUAUUAAUAUUAUAAAACAGUAUAUUGUACAUUUAGUUCAUGUUUAAACUGGUAAUCUUAUUUAUUGAUUUUUUAUAUGCUCCCACAUUUUCAUGUAGACGUAUAUUGUCGUCGCUCCUGUCCGUCCGUUCACAUUUGUUUAUGGACAGUCUACAGGUCACAAUUUUUAUCCGAUUUUGACAAAACUUGAAAUAUGGGUUUAUUUCCCAUCUAUACUGGCAUGUAUCGGGCCAUAACUUCAUGGAUUAUGGCCACUAAUUGUACGAAAAAUCAAGUUUUUAGCUUGUGGACACUCUAGAGGUCACAAUUUUCAUCUUAAUUUGAUGAAACUUGAAAUGUAUGUUCAUAACCCAAAGAUCUAGGUUCCUGUCGAUAUUCGCGCAUAUCGGACUGUAAUUUCCUGGAUUAUGGCUCCUGAAUGUAUGAACAUCGUGUUUUUAGAUUGUGAUUCGUCUAGAGGUCACAGUUUUUAUCUGAUUUAAAAAAAACGUUCAACUUUAUCACUUUUACACCAUAAUGAUGUUUGAGUUCAAAUUUCAUGAAAUAAGACAGAAACUGUCGGUCAAAAUGGCUGCUCCUCGUACGCAAAUAGUGUAAAAAUAUGUAAUACCAAGGUUGUGAAACCUCUAGAGGUCACAAUUCUGAUCCGAUUUUUAUGAAAUUUUAAAUUCAUGUUUAUAUCACAAAGAUCUUGGUUCCUUUCGAUAAUAUUGGAACGUAACUUCCUGGAUUAUGGCUCUUAAUACCAAGGUUGUGAACCCUCUAGAAGUCACAAUUUUUAUCUGAUUUUGAUGAAACUUGAAAUACAUAUGUUUAUAACCCAAAGAUCUCGGUUUCCUUCGAUAUUCGUGCCUAUCGGACCGUAACUUCCUGGAUAAUGGCCCCUGAUUGUACGAAAAAUUGCAUUUUUUUUUUUUUAGCUCAUUCUCAAUCCAUCUGUUGCAAAAUGUGCACGUAUCUUGCAUGGCAACCGCUUGUUUACACAAGAUUUACAUUAUUUUUAUAAUACGAGACGUACACCUGACCUGAAGUCAUGGAUACUUGCGGACAAACACUGUCUUGUACAAUUGUUGCAUCAUGAAUGUGGUACUGGUAAUAUUAUGUAGGUAAAAUGUGUUUAAAAGUAUAUAAGACUAUUAUUAUUUACAUGAUAUUAACAGUUAUAUUUAAAGACUGUGCUUACUUUUACUGUUUACCAUAUGAUAUGUUAAUAUAUCUGAAGUAUGACUGUGUAGCCACUCAGACCAAUUUACUACUAAAUAAUUGAUUUUAUGAGAAAAAUAAAUAUGGCUGUUUAGUUUAAUUAGAAGAGUUGUCUUAAUGGCAUUGUUAACAUCAGUUGGUGAUUAUUAUUGAUGUUUUAAUUCUCCACACACUAUUUUAUUGAUCAAAUGAAUCUAGGGUCGGAACUCAGAUGUAAGCUGUAAGGAAAUGGAAAUACUUUAGAUGGCUGGAUUUUGAAGGCUCUUUUGGCUAAUAUAAAAAGUGGAAUUUCCAUAUAAAAGUUCUCUACUGGAAAGAAUAAAUCAUUGUUUAAGAUUAAGUUAUUUUUGGGGAUAAACCAGGACACUUUUAAUUUUUCAGAACCAUACUGUAAAUUACGAAAUUGACAAUAAAUAAUAAUUUAAAAAAAAGCAUAUAUAUUAUGGUAAAAAUUGCAUUUAGACUUGAGUGUGGUAGCUUAUAUUAUUUCGCAAACUUCCUAUUAAAAGCUCACUUUCACUUUAUUAACAUCAAAAAAUUUUAUUUUGGUGCCUAAACCCUCCAAAUAAAACACCUUCUACUGGUUAUUUUGAAUACAUAGUUUAUUGAUUGAUAUAGAUAAAAAUUGACUUAAGAAUUGUUGAAUUCCUGAAUAAAUUCUGCAAUUUACCACUGCUAUUAUCUGAGAGACUGAUACAAGUGUUUUGGUAUGAGGUACUUCCAAAAAACAACAAAAUGUCACACCAUUUGGUUCUAGUAUUAUAUAAUUUAGCAAGUAUAAUGAAAAUGCGAAGUAUUAAAGCUAUAAAUCGAACAAUAAUAAUAAUAAUAAUAAUAAAUAAAUCUUUUUUGUACUAGAGGGUAUGGUAGUACCAUGAUACAUGUUAGGUAUUCAUUAAUUUGUAUAUCAGAAAUAUUUAAAAUCAUAAUUACAUGUUUUAGACAUUUAUUUAUUUGGUUCAAAUCCACAAUUUUCUUGCAUCAAGUGAAAUUAAGUGUAUUCUAUAUAGCAAUUAUAUAAUGAUACCAUAGAGGAAGGUCGUACAAUAUGAAUGAUGUACUAUUUAGUAUAUUUGUAUAUUUUUAUAGGAUUUGUAUAAAACCGCAAAUUAUUACAAUGCCAUUGUUCAUUUAUAGAGAGAAAAUGUGUGUAUUUUUGUGCUAUCAUAGUGUAAGAGAUGUCUUUCUUAUAUAUAUAUAUAUAUAUAUAUAUAUAUAUAUAUAUAUAUGUACAUAAGACAGAUAGUUAUAUAUAUAUAUUGUAAUUCACAAAUAAAAUAUAAGAAAUAAAUUUAUAAAAGUCCAGAAUAUUCUAAUGUGAUUGAUCUGUGUAAUAGUGUUUAAUUCAGCCUCUAUCAUUUUCAAUUUCAAUUUAAUGGUAUAUUGUCGUUGGUCCGUCCACAUUUAAUUUUAUUCACUCUGUUAAAUUCUUAAACCAUUUUGAUUAAAUUUCCAUAAUUUUGCCCCUGCUGGAUAAACAAACAUUCCCGUAUUGGUAUUCACUCUAACAUCCGAGUUCUUGUCCAGAGUUUCAAACCCUGACUUGUGAUUGUUAAUAUUUGCCUAUAUUGUACUCACCCUGGCCACUUUUCACAAAACACAAAAUUAGGAUCAUGAUCAAUAUUUGUGGUGUAAGCCCCUUAUCCCAAAACCACAUUUUCGAAAAAAAAAAACAACCACCAACAAAAAAACCAUGAUAUAUGAAGAGUUAUAUUAGAGUGCAAGCUACAAAUUUGCUAGUGUACUAUGUUAACUUGUCUGUCACUAUGUGUUUAAUAAGGCCAGUUAUGUCUACAUUAUGGUGAUCUGCAAACACAACAUCAGCUUUUGAUCUUUUAAUUUGAUAUAAAAAUUUCUGUUAUGUCUUUGACUUUAUCAACUCUACAGUGAUGUACUAACGCUAUUGAAUCCAAGAAUUGCUUUAUUAAAAAGAUGCGGGGUUUGACAAAAACCUUACUUUGUUUCUGAAUAAUAUGUUGCCCGAGUUAUAAAACUUCCAUAAAUCGACUGUUUUAUUAUAGGUUGUACAAUAUUCGUUAAAACACUCAAAUCCAAUUAAAAUCAUCAAACUAUUUUCCCUAAAACUAAAGCUACAGUAACAGUUAUAUGAAGAAGCUGCCUUGAAAUUAACUAGUUAGUAGUAUUUGGCCAUAUCUGUACAAUAAUCCGGGUCAUAUAGUUAUAUUUAAUUGGCGUCUGUUUAGUUUCACAAUCACAUAGAAUAUUUACCUAUAAUUCCUGUUGAUAGAGAAAAUGUAUACUAAUCAAAUCUGAAUAUUAUUUGUUGAAUGUUUGUAUGUUAUUAUUAUUAUAUUAUUAGAGAUAUGUUAAUAAAUAAUGUUUUCAAUAUAA